UAAUGUCUGGGAAACGUGCCUGAUGAGGGGGAGUAAUACUGGAAACGGUGGCUAAUACCGCAUAAUGUCUACGGACCAAAGCAGGGGCUCUUCGGACCUUGCACUAUCGGAUGAACCCAUAUGGGAUUAGCUAGUAGGUGGGGUAAAGGCUCACCUAGGCGACGAUCUCUAGCUGGUCUGAGAGGAUGAUCAGCCACACUGGGACUGAGACACGGCCCAG
rnacentral:rRNA from 1 species